UUAGAGUUUGAUCCAUGGCUCAGAUUGAACGCUGGCGGCAUGCCUUACACAUGCAAGUCGAACGGUAACAGGUCUUCGGACGCUGACGAGUGGCGAACGGGUGAGUAAUACAUCGGAACGUGCCCAGUCGUGGGGGAUAACUACUCGAAAGAGUAGCUAAUACCGCAUACGAUCUGAGGAUGAAAGCGGGGGACCUUCGGGCCUCGCGCGAUUGGAGCGGCCGAUGGCAGAUUAGGUAGUUGGUGGGAUAAAAGCUUACCAAGCCGACGAUCUGUAGCUGGUCUGAGAGGACGACCAGCCACACUGGGACUGAGACACGGCCCAGACUCCUACGGGAGGCAGCAGUGGGGAAUUUUGGACAAUGGGCGAAAGCCUGAUCCAGCAAUGCCGCGUGCAGGAUGAAGGCCUUCGGGUUGUAAACUGCUUUUGUACGGAA
rnacentral:rRNA from 1 species